UGCAAUUCCCUCAUCUUACAGAUGAGAAUACUGAAUCCCAGAAAGAUGAAGUGAGCUAUAUGUAGUCACACAAGUUAUAAGUAAUUGAUCUGAGAUUUGAACUAAGGUCUGCUGAUUUCAAUUCCAAAUCUCGUUGUAUUUUUCUCGUUGAAGAACUUAGGCAGAUUGAAAGUGAAAUAAAUAACCCUGAAAGUCAUAUAGUUCAUUACAUCAAAGGACAAUAUUUCAAGAAUGAAUAAUCAAUUACCCUUGAAGAUCCAGCCUAAAUCUCAUUUCCUCCAUGAAACUUUCUCAGAGUAUUUGAAGGCACAUUAACUUCUCCCUUUUAGGUAAGCCUAUACCUUCUCUCCUCCACGGAUAGGUGGGCUGGUUUUUAGACAUUCUCCUUGGUCCUAUCAAGUCUACUCAAUACUUGUACUCCAUGAACACAACCUUUGGGGUCAUCUCUGCAGUAUAGUGUGACAGAAUGACAAUAUGUUAAUGGAGUAGGAAUAAAAGUUAGGGAUAAGUCUGAUUUUCUAGGGUUAGUUAAAAGAAGGGAAUUUUGUGAUAAGCCCUGGGAAAGAAUUCUGGGUAGGAAAUGAAUUGUGGGAGUCUAAAACUGAAAAUAACUGAACUUCACUUCCUUCUUGGAUUUCAUCUGAGCUAGAAGUAGGUCUUGUCUCUCUGCCUAUUUCCAUCAAGCUGAAGGAGGGGUUUUGCUCUAAGAGAUUCUCCCUGGAUAGCCAGGAUUUCAUGGAGAAAUCUUUAACAUCUAGGUAGAGGAUUUAUUUGGAGAAAACCAAAUUUCCCUGAGUCCAAACAUCAUCUGUCAGUGGUCCAGCUGCCAGACUUUAGCUAAGGAAAAAAAAGACCAAAACAAACAAAAAAAAAAUGAAAGCAAGCAGGUCUCCAGAAGUAAUGAGGGAGUCAGACAGAUCUUCCUCACUCAAGACCCACAACUCUACCCAUUACUCCACACUACCAGUCAAGGAUUGGCUUCUCCUAUUACUCAACUCAACAUCUAUUUCUCAAAUGCCUUCCAUGCACAAUGUUCCAUAUCAUGAGGAGAUACAAGAAAAAUUAAGCAAUAGAGCUUGCUGAGAACAUAUACUUCCAUGUUUUAAUGAAGCUAUGGAUCAUUGAAAUGGCCAGUCUUCACUAUAUAAUGAGUGUAAAUUGAAAUGUGUUCAUUUGUUCUUGUCCUAACAGAUACUUAAAUUCUUCAUGGAAGGUUGACCCAGAACACCAGAAGUCUUUUUCUGAGUAUCCUAAUAUUCCAUGGGUACUAGGAUAUCAAUAUUGAGGGAAAAUAGACCAAAGCUGAAAAGGGCCUUAGAGAUCAUAUUGUCUGACUGUCUCAUUUUACAGAUGAUAAAACUGAAGCCCAUAGAGGUUAAAUGACUGUCACAGAGUUACAUGGAAAUAAAUUGUAGAAUGAAAUUCA
rnacentral:lncRNA from 1 species